AGCAGAAAAGCACGAUGCACUUGAGCUUCCUGGUCCCUUUGCCCAUGCUGUCCUUGUUCAUCGCACCAUGGGGCACUCUACAUGAUUCAAUGAGUGACCCAACUCUUGCAGAUCCAAUGACAACCUUGUUUGCGUACACCAAGUAACUCACCCAUGGAAGAAAAAGCGUUCAUCAUCCUACCCACCCAGAGAGGAGGAGGAGGCUAGCAGUUUUUGGGGAUUUGGUCGUUGUUAGAUUUUAAACGGAAAGACUGGAGCUGUCAGGGAAGACUUGUGGAGGGAUGGACAGGCACGUGAGUGGAGCCCUUGCCCUCAACCAGGAAGUGCUGAAAAACGAACAACGCCCAUCCUAAGUCCCUGGACAAUGUGGAAGGAAAUGUUAAAAGAAGUUCUUCAGAGAGGAGGAAGAUGAUAUAGAUCAGAAACGUGCAUCUACAUGAAGAAAGGGAGAGCCUCAGUGAAUGAAUAAGUGAAGACAAAAUAAAGACUGUUAUUUUUCUUAUUCUUAAUUGAUCUGAAAGAUAGUAAUUUGCUUAAAGUAAUAAUAGCAACAAUAUAUUUGAUAUAUGCAUAUAUAUGCUUAUGUGUGUGUGAAAUGAAUGGCAGCAAUGAUAUAAGGGAUGGAAGAGAGGAACUGAGAGUAUUUUGUUAUUAGAGGGUAU